rnacentral:rRNA from 1 species
UGGGGGAUAUUGCACAAUGGGCGAAAGCCUGAUGCAGCGACGCCGCGUGGGGGAUGAAGGCCUUCGGGUUGUAAACUUCUUUUGCCCUGAACAAGGCAUGCCUUUGGGGUGUGUUGAGUGUAGGGGUUGAUUAGCGCCGGCUAACUACGUGCCAGCAGCCGCGGUAAUACGUAGGGCGCGAGCGUUGUCCGGAAUUAUUGGGCGUAAAGGGCUUGUAGGUGGCUGGUUGCGUCUGUCGUGAAAGCUCAUGGCUUAACUGUGGGUUUGCGGUGGGUACGGGCUGGCUUGAGUGCAGUAGGGGAGGCUGGAAUUCCUGGUGUAGCGGUGGAAUGCGCAAAUAUCAGGAGGAAUACCGGUGGCGAAGGCGGGUCUCUGGGCUGUUACUGACGCUGAGGGGCGAAAGCGUGGGGAGCGAACAGG